AUUGAACGCUGGCGGCAGGCUUAACACAUGCAAGUCGAGCGGAGAUGAGGUGCUUGCACCUUAUCUUAGCGGCGGACGGGUGAGUAAUGCUUAGGAAUCUGCCUAUUAGUGGGGGACAACAUUCCGAAAGGAAUGCUAAUACCGCAUACGUCCUACGGGAGAAAGCAGGGGAUCUUCGAACCUUGCGCUAAUAGAUGAGCCUAAGUCGGAUUAGCUAGUUGGUGGGGUAAAGGCCUACCAAGGCGACGAUCUGUAGCGGGUCUGAGAGGAUGAUCCGCCACACUGGGACUGAGACACGGCCCAGACUCCUACGGGAGGCAGCAGUGGGGAAUAUUGGACAAUGGGGGAAACCCUGAUCCAGCCAUGCCGCGUGUGUGAAGAAGGCCUUAUGGUUGUAAAGCACUUUAAGCGAGGAGGAGGCUACUGAGACUAAUACUCUUGGAUAGUGGACGUUACUCGCAGAAUAAGCACCGGCUAACUCUGUGCCAGCCGCCGCUGUAACAC
rnacentral:rRNA from 1 species